rnacentral:rRNA from 1 species
GACGAACGCUGGCGGCGUGCCUAAUACAUGCAAGUAGGACGCAGUUGCGAACGGGUGAGUAACGCGUAGGUAACUACAUAUUAGAGGGGGAUAACUAUUGGAAACGAUAGCUACUACCGCAUACUAGUAGCUGGACCUGCGUUGUAUUAGCUAGUAGGUAGGGUCAUGGCCUACCUAGUCAACGAUACAUAGCCGACCUGGUAGAGUGAUCGGCCUAUCUGGGGCUGGUACACGUCCGAGAGUCCUACGCCACGCAGCAGUAGGGACUCUUCGGCCAUCGUGGGAACACUGAGCGAGCAACGCCGCGUGAGUGUAGAAGGUUUUCGGAUCGUAAAGCUCUGUUGUUAAGGACGCGGUACUUACCCAGAGAGGGCCGGCUAACUACGUGCCAGCAGCCGCGGUAAUAC